AUUGAACGCUGGCGGCGUGCCUAACACAUGCAAGUCGAGCGGUAACAGGUGUAGCAAUACAUGCUGACGAGCGGCGAACGGGUGAGUAAUGCUUCGGAAUCUACCCAAUGGUGGGGAAUAACCAGCCGAAAGGUUGGCUAAUACCGCAUACGUCCUACGGGAGAAAGCAGGGGAUCGUAAGACCUUGCGCCAAUGGAUGAGCCGAAGUCGGAUUAGCUAGUUGGAGGGUAACGGCCUACCAAGGCGACGAUCCAUAGCUGGUCUGAGAGGACGACCAGCCACACUGGGACUGAGACACGGCCCAGACUCCUACGGGAGGCAGCAGUGGGGAAUAUUGGACAAUGGGGGAAACCCUGAUCCAGCGACGCCGCGUGUGUGAAGAAGGCCUGCGGGUUGUAAAGCACUUUUAGUGGGAUGAAAAGUUCAGGGCUAAUACCCCUGGAUCUUGACCUAACCACAGAAAAGCACCGGCUAACUCUGUG
rnacentral:rRNA from 1 species